GCCCGCGGGAGGAGCGGCGGGGCUGCGGCUGGCUCCUCCGGUGCCCGCGGGAGGCCGCCCCGGGGCUCGCCGGUGAGCGUUGGGACGCAGCAAAGUGUGGCUGCAGAGCCGCUGCCUCUCAGCCUGGAGAGAGGAGCUGCUGGGCUUCCCCGAGGCACCCCCGCUCUGGGGCUGGUGCUCGGUCCCUGGGCCCUGAGCGCCACGCUCUGACCUCUCCCUUGGUGCUUUCAGACCUUCACCCAGUGCCCACCGCUUCGGGCCGAGAAACGACUGGGUUAAGCGGUCGGGAGAUAAUAGAAUAAUCGAGUUGUAUUUAUUCCCCCUUUGACUCUCCUAGGAGAGCUGAGGACCGAGACUCACGGCAGCCAGAACGCAGAAAUCGCCCUCGGAGUCACCUCAGGACAGAGCCGCCCCCGCCAGUGCCACUUGGAACACCAAGCUGGUUUGGAACUUCAGCUCUCGCACUCACACCUUCCCUUGGCCCUCGCCUUUUGAAGCCAGAAGGCUGAAUUCAGAGAAAUCUCUGUAUUUUGGGCUCAUUCCAAG